GCCAUUUUGGCAGCCCAAAGAAAAAAAAAAAAAAGAAAACCUCAGGCGUAACUCAAUGUAAUUGAGGAAGAAUUCUUUCUACACAAUGUAAAACCUCCUCGUUUGUGCAGCAAAGGACUUCUCAAAUUUUUAGUUUUCUUCUUUCUCCUCAAAUUAAUCGCGCAUCUGUUGAAGUGUAAAACUCCCCUCAUUCAAAAUUUGGGUCUUUGAUCUAUUGAAGUUUGGGUCGUUCUUCUCUUCGUUUCUCUGUACAAGUUUGGGUUUUGAAAGAAGAUACCAAGUUCUUCAUCUGAGGCUCGAAAGAAGUCAGAAGUCAGAUCGGAAAACCCUUAGCAAAGCAAGCAUAGAGCUGGUAGCACUACUUGAAAUCAUUGUUUAGUUACAAAUGGAUGAACGAACCUUGGAUCUGAUCUGAUGGUGCUCUGCUCUUUAGGAACGAGCUAAGGUCAGAACUGCUCUGGAUACUGUGGAGCAACUUAUAGAAGAACAAGCUCUGGAUUCUUUGCCUUCAGAUAAAUGUAGAUGUAGAGUUUGAAACAAACGGUUGUAGAGCUGAAAGCAAAUUAUUCCUUCUGCUAGUGCAGCUUGUGGAUGCCUACGAGUGAGAUGAGUACCAUUAAAGAAGCAAUUUCAAAUAAUGUAGCAUGGCCUGCUGAUAAAAUUUUAAAGGGGCAAUGAAGACUCAUGCUUUCUCCAACUAUCUACAUAACGAUACAUGUAAGUAACCUGCAAAUAAUAUUUGAUGGAUGGUGGUGCAGUGGCGGACAACUAGUGUGGGGAUUAAAGAAUGGAUACCGCUCGCAUUUAAUUUUAGAAA